UGCUUUACACAUGCAAGUCGAACGGCCAGCACGGACUUCGGUCUGGUGGCGAGUGGCGAACGGGUGAGUAAUAUAUCGGAACGUAUCCAAUAAUGGGGGAUAACUAAUCGAAAGGUUGGCUAAUACCGCAUACGCCCUUACGGGGAAAGCUAGGAUCUUCGGACCUGGCGUUAAUGGAGCGGCUGAUAUCUGAUUAGCUAGUAGGUGAGGUAAAGGCUCACCUAGCGACGAUCAGUAGCUGGUCUGAGAGGACGACCAGCCACACUGGAACUGAGACACGGUCCAGACUCCUACGGGAGGCAGCAGUGGGGAAUUUUGGACAAUGGGCGAAAGCCUGAUCCAGCCAUUCCGCGUGAGUGAAGAAGGCCUUCGGGUUGUAAAGCUCUUUCGCAAGGGAAGAAAACUUAUCCUCUAACAUAGGGUGAGGUUGACGGUACCUUGAUAAGAAGCACCGGCUAACUACGUGCCAGCAGCCGCGGUAUACGUAGGGUGCGAGCGUUAAUCGGAAUUACUGGGCGUAAAGCGUGCGCAGGCGGUUUUGUAAGUCAGAUGUGAAAUCCCCGAGCUCAACUUGGGAACUGCGUUUGAAACUAUAAGACUAGAAUAUGUCAGAGGGGGGUAGAAUUCCACGUGUAGCAGUGAAAUGCGUAGAGAUGUGGAGGAAUACCCAAUGGCGAAGGCAGCCCCCUGGGAUAAUAUUGACGUUCAUGCACGAAAGCGUGGGGAGCAAACAGGUUAGAUACCCUGGUAGUCCACGCCCUAAACGAUGUCUACUAGUUGUUGGUGGAGUAAGAUCCAUGUGUAACGCAGCUAACGCGUGAAGUAGACCGCCUGGGGAGUACGGUCGCAAGAUUAAAACUCAAAUGAAUUGACGGGGGCCCGCACAAGCGGUGGGAUUAUUGUGGAUUAAUUCGAUGCAAAGCGAAAAAACCUUACCUGGGCCUUGAAUUGUUA
rnacentral:rRNA from 1 species